rnacentral:siRNA from 1 species
UGAUUAUUCGUUGACCAGGCCAA